AAUGAAAAUGGCUACAAGUGUGUUUUCCUGGUGGUACUUCAAGUGAGAUUAAGCCAUAUUUGUCUGGAACAUUCCCCUCUUUGCAGUAGGGACAUACUUUCAUAUGUGGUGGCAAUGCAGGUAGGUGGUGAGGUAUUGGAGACAUUCUUUUAUACUUUAUAGCUGGAUUCUUGGCUUGACUUUUUAAACCCAACUGUGAGGUGGUUGUCUUAAAGGAACACUAUAGUAUCAGGAACAUAAAACUGUAUUCCUAACACUGAAGUGUCCCUCUACCUUCACGCCCCUCCUGGUCCCACUCAGCCAUAAAAGGGUUAAAUAACCCUUUAAACACUUACUUGAUUCCAUCACUUAGGUCUUUCAAAGUUGAGUGGGCCUCCUUCUCCUCUAACGUCAACUGAUGGGGGGAAACUAAAG